rnacentral:rRNA from 1 species
CAGUCGCCGCGGUAAUACGAAGGGGGCUAGCGUUGUUCGGAAUUACUGGGCGUAAAGCGCACGUAGGCGGAUAUUUAAGUCAGGGGUGAAAUCCCGCAGCUCAACUGCGGAACUGCCUUUGAUACUGGGUAUCUUGAGUAUGGAAGAGGUUAGUGGAAUUGCGAGUGUAGAGGUGAAAUUCGUAGAUAUUGGGAAGAACACCGGUGGCGAAGGCGGCGACCUGGUCCUUGACUGACGCUGAGGCGCGAAAGCGUGGGGAGCAAACAGGAUUAGAUACCCCCGUAGUCCCUGUCUCUUAUAC